CACCAAUCAGCACCCUGUCAAAGCAGACCAAUCAGCUGUCUGUAAAACCAACCAAUCAGCUCUCUGUAAAAUGGACCAAUCAGCAGGAUGUGGGUGGGGCCAGAUAAGGGAAUAAAAGCAGGCUGCCCCAGCCAGUAGUGGCAACCUGCUGGGGUCCCCUUCCACGCUGUGGCAGCUUUGUUCUUUGGCUCUUUGCAAUAAAUCUUGCUGCUGCUCACUCUUUAGGUCCACACUCCCUUUAUGAGCUGUAACACUCACCACAAAGGUCUGCAGCUUCACUCCUGAAGCCAGCGAGACCACGAGCCCACCAGGAGGAAGAAACUCUGAACGCAUCCGAACAUCAGAAGGAACAAACUGCGGACACGCCCUCUUUAAGAACUGAGACACUCACCGUGAGGGUCCGCAGCUUCAUUCUUGAAGUCAGUGAGACCAAGAACCCACCAAUUCCGGACAACUAGCUUCAGACUUAGCUGCAUCUAGGUUCAAAUAAUGUCAUCAGGGUCCUCUGUAUGUCUCUCUCUUUAUCCCUCAGCUCCACUUUGCUUUAUUAUCAGACAAGCUUUAUCCAGGUGGACACAAGACGGCAGUUCACGGUCUCAAGCCUGUGUACUACACACAGCCCUCAAUACCAGCUUAGGAGAAAGUGUCUUUCCCACAACCUCUGAGAAAAGACUCAUGGAAAGUAGUGAUUGGUCCAUUCUUAGGAUAUAUCCAUUCCUGGACCAAUCAAUGUGGCCAGCAGGAUUGAGUCCUCUGAUUGGACAAGGCUGAGUCAUGUGACCUCCCUGAACCACAUAAACUGAAUAAUACUGUUCUGAAAAUAGGAGAAAGUGGUUUGCAGAAAAGAUGAGGUGCUGGCCUGACCACGGUGCGUGCCCCUUGGUCAACAAACAGAAUCUGAAGAAUCCAGGAAAUCACAAAGGAUUCUAAGAGGUCACAAAGACUGAUGUUAUCAGGCCCCAAAGCUUCUACAUGAGUGUCAAGAGAAAAAAUACCUUGAUCACUCAGGUGCCCUCUCCUCAGUUUUUCUCUGUCCAGGCUUGAAGAACUAUAACCAUUUCCAAGUUCUAAAAGGACAGGUGGGGGAGUUAUUUGUUUGUUUAUUUGUUUGUUUUGAUUUCAGAAAGAUGUGAACUCCAGGAUCUCUUGAGAGACUGCCAGAGCCAGCAGCCCCAAGGAUACUUCGAACAGUGGGCACUGGUGCAAUUCUAUAAAAAGAAACCAGAAACCAUUUAGAUGUGUGUCAGGAAGAAGCACUUCCAGAUGCUUGAGGAAAGAUGCAAGAUAGCAAGGUACUGAGUAUAAAACGAUAUAAAACAAUAUGAGAGGGUCUCUCUCUUCCCUCACUGCCACUACAUCCUAUUUGUGGAAACAGUCUCAAUCCUGCUCAGAUUCAAGAGGAGGAGAUUUGUACUUCGCCUCUUGAUGGGGGUGAAACAAGCUUCUAGAAGGGCCCACAGGAUGGGAGAUAUUUUGGCCAUCUUCAGAGAACACAGUUUGCCUCAGCAAACAGCAUAUUGUAUGACUUCACCAGGCUGUCCUAACUUACAAACCCCACUUUAAAAUUACCACCCCUGGGAACCCCAUUGCAAGUUUAGAAAAAUCACUGGAUUCAUGAGGUCAGGAGAUCGAGACCAACCUGGCUAACAUGGUGAAACCCUGCCUCUAUUAAAAAUGCAAAAAAUUAGCCGGGUAUGGUGGCACGCGUCUUUAGUCUCAGCUACUCGGAAGGCUGAAGCAGGAGAAUCGCUUGAACCCGGGAGGGGGAAGUUGCAGUGAGCAGAGACUGCGCCACUGCACUCCAGCCUGGGUGACAGAGUGAGAUUCCUUCUCAAAAAAAAAAAAGAAAAAAAGAAAAGAAAA